UAUGGAGCUUCAAUUAACUAACCCAUAGUAAAUACACUUAACCACCAACCGGGUCUAACAGAACCUUACUAAUGAGUUAGCAAUUUAGGUUGGGGCGACCUCGGAGAAUAAAAUAACCUCCGAGUGAUACAAGCACAGACAAACCAGUCAAAGCAUCCUAUCAUUCAUUGAUCCAAUAACUUGAUCAACGGAACAAGUUACCCUA
rnacentral:rRNA from 1 species